AACAAAUAUUAUUUUGAUUUAAAACUUGCGCUCUGUUCCUGAGUGAUUUUAUAUACGAGGUUAAAGAAGACAGAGAGAAAUCCAGCAGUGAGAGCUGAGCUCUGUAGUGCCUUUUGCCCUACUGGUGAUAUCUCACACUCGUCCAUCAAAGUCCAGAGAGGGAGAAGGUGUGUCCAGUCUGUUGCGGAAGUUUUUCACUUGACUUACCUGGAUUAAAGACUCUCGUCAAAAUGCCUCAAGGAUUUCCAGAAAUGAUCCGACUCUUCGUUAUGGUCUUUGGGAAUGCCAUGUAUUCCCACCUGGGCUUCCUGGAGGAUCUCACACUGUCUCCUGACCUCCGUGAAGUGAAGACACUGGAUGAGAGUGAUGUCAUCAUCGCUUUUGUUCCCAUUGUCUCUCGCGCUGGAACUGAUAUAGAAGCUGCUCUUAAGGAGAUCCCUGAAUCCCGGCCUGUUGUUCUAGUGGCUCUCCACCACACAGACGAUCCAGGAUUCGUGGCUCCGGACAGCAGACUGUGUGUAAACAGGAGUACCGUGUUUACUGUGGACUGUCUGUUUCAUGAAGACCGAGGUCUGCUGAGAUGCCACCGCAACGACGAGGCUGUAAAAGCAGUGAAGAAGCAUCUGGGAGUGGAGGAGGCUUACUUUGAAGAUCGUAUCCGCUUUUCCAAUCAUCCUUCAAAACUCAACAAGGUUACUCAGCAGGCUCUGCAGCAGUGUCGCAGGUUCCAGUGGGAGCUGCUGGGUCUGUUUACUGCGCUCAUCAUCCUGACAGUGCUCACAUAUCCUCCUGAAGACGUAAUUCCCUGGAUGUUUGCCUUGGCGUGCUUCAGCCUUGUUUACACGCUCACUCCCUCAGAGUAUAUUCACUCCGUCUGGCAUGUAGUCUGGAUGCUGGUGUUUAUGGUGUUUCUCCUGAAGUGGUGCGGAUAUGAGGAGUGGAUUCCCAGGUAUUUAGACUGGAUUCCAGACCUCGUUUUUUCUGGGAGCGUCACCUUGACUGCCAUGAGAACAAGAAAACUCCCAAUGAUGUUUAAGUAAUUCACUAAUUCAGUAUUUUACUUAGACUAUGUUUAGACAGCAAGUAAAAAAGGCCCAAAUCUCAUAUUAUAUGUGUCAUUAUAUGUGACACAGUAGGCAUGUGCAGAUGGGGGGGUGAAGGGGGCUGGAGCUCUUACUUCCCUUUUGUAAAAGUGCCCUUUUGUAUUUUUUUAAUUUGUUUUGUAAAUGUAUGUGGGAAAGUCAUACCCGUUUUGGCCGGGAAACUAACGUAUUUUACCCCUCUUUGCCGCCGUCUUCACGUAUUAGUAUUUAUGACCGUAAAUUUCCCAUAUUAAAUUAAAUUUAAAAAAUGGUAUUAAUCAGGAGACUGCUUUGUUAAUGGGAAAGCUCUUAAUACCAAUCAUGGUGCCGGUUCUCGGAUAAAGUCCCGCCUUUCAGGAGAAACAGCCAAUCAGCUUGCUGGUUUUGCAGAGCGUAGAGGAGAGUUAGUGUGAGUGGUAAAGUACCCUUUUGACUUUGAGCACUUGCCCCUCCAAAGGCCUCUGCACGGCCCUGUGACACAGAUUUAUAUUUGUGAGGCAGUUUGAACGUCAAAAAUGUUAAGUUUUUAAUCCGAUUAGGGCCACUUCAACAUGUGUUGAUAAAAAACAUAUAAAAGUUUUAAUAUCUGAUUCACAGCGACGCAGCCAGAACAGAAUUUGUUUGACUUUUAUGUCGAAUAGAAUUAAAAAAAGGAAAAAAGGCGGUGAGGAAGAGGGAAAAUGGACAACAGCUGCAAAUAAGGGUUUAAUUAUCAAGAUGGUAUUAAGCAACAGAACAGAAUUAGCAAGGAAAUGAGGGAACUUAUCAACAUUUGGACUGUCUCUGAGGCUUUAAAUCCAUUUCCAAAGCUCAGUUUAUUUUCAUUUCUACUAACCAUUUUACAAUAUACAUUUUUUUUUAGCUUUUUUCCUUUUACAAUAUAUUUUUCUGGCAGUUUAUUGUUAACUUUUGUACCAUUUCAAGGUUAUUCACUAAACUAAAAAAGCUUGGCAAAAAUAGCAUAAAAAAAAAAAAAACUUUUGACCAGUAGUGUACAUACAAAAUGAAACUGAAACUGAAACGUGAAGCGUUUCUCUUUAGCGCAUUAUCAUAAGUUUAAAAGGAUGAACUGUUCAAAACUGAAGUAAUGUCAGAUACAGAUUCUUGGGCCACUUUUACCUGCUGUGUGAAUGUAGCAUAAUAUUUACUUAAUAUUUAACGAGUGAAAAAUGUCUGUGAUCAGUUUGACGAUUAUAUAUAAUAUAAUUAAAGUAUAUUAAACCCCUGCUUUGUUUGUGUGUGUAAUUCGAAUUACUAAAGGCAGAAAAAAGUGAAAAUAAACUCACUCACUCUUGUGCUUCCUGUAGGCCU
ensembl:lncRNA